CCGAGCCACUGCCGUCGGCGACGCACAGAGCAGCGCCGGUCAUCUUCCUCCUUUCUCCCAAGUCCGACUUCUCUGUGCCCUUCUUCCUCUCUGCCGUGUCUUGGCACAGCGCCGAUCGCCUCUCCCUCCGCCCGGAGCAGCGCUGCCGCCGGCCUUCCUCGGCCCUAGAGCUUUCCCUCCGAUCGUCGAGCAGAGCUGUGCCCUAGCCUCAGCCGCGACACCCAUCUCCUCGGCGCUACCAAUCUGAUUUGUUGUUCAUUGUGCCCUGGUUUUCGUUGCUGAUCCGAGAUUGGGGUUUCCUCAAUUCCAGUCAUCUCAUUACUGAUUGGUUCUGUUGCCAUUACAGAACGGCUGAAGAAGAAUUGAGGAUAUUGAUUCGAGACGGUGUCUUGACGGGGGAUCUGUUUUGGAUACGAUCCUUUUCGAUUGGAGGCGGGU